CUUCACCGACCCCAACCACAGCGGCUCGGAACGGUCCUGACCGUAGGUCGCCAGCAGCGCCUGCGCCUC
rnacentral:antisense_RNA from 1 species